AGGCGAUGAAGGGCGUGCUAAUCUGCGAUAAGCGUCGGUAAGGUGAUAUGAACCGCUAUACCCGACGAUACCCGAAUGGGGAAACCCAGUGCAAUUCGUUGCACUAUCAUUAACUGAAUCCAUAGGUUAAUGAGGCGAACCGGGGGAACUGAAACAUCUCAGUACCCCGAGGAAAAGAAAUCAACCGAGAUUCCCCCAGUAGCGGCGAGCGAACGGGGAAGAGCCCAGAACCUGAAUCAUCGGUUGCGUUAAUGGAAGCGUCUGGAAAGUCGCGCGAAACAGGGUGAUAGCCCCGUACAUGAAAACGCAGCCGGUGUGAGUUCGAUGAGUAGGGCGGGACACGUGUUAUCCUGUCUGAAGAUGGGGGGACCAUCCUCCAAGGCUAAAUACUCCUGGCUGACCGAUAGUGAACCAGUACCGUGAGGGAAAGGCGAAAAGAACCCCGGCGAGGGGAGUGAAAGAGAACCUGAAACCGUGUACGUACAAGCAGUGGGAGCCUUGAUUUAUCAGGGUGACUGCGUACCUUUUGUAUAAUGGGUCAGCGACUUAUAUUUUGUAGCAAGGUUAACCGAAUAGGGGAGCCGCAGGGAAACCGAGUCUUAACUGGGCGUCAUAGUUGCAA
rnacentral:rRNA from 1 species